rnacentral:rRNA from 1 species
UGAAUACGAGAUGCUACGGCGUCGAAGCAGUCUAUGUCAUACUUCCAAGAAAAGCUUGCACUGUCAUAAACAAAUAAUGCCUGUACCAUAACCGACACAGGUGGGUAGGUAGAGUAUACUAAGGGGCGCGAGAUAACUCUCUCUAAGGAACUCGGCAAAAUGACUCCGUAACUUCGGGAGAAGGAGUGCCUUAUUUAUAAGGUUGCAAUAACAAGAUCCAAGCAACUGUUUACCAAAAACACAGGUCUCCGCUAAGUCGUAAGACGAUGUAUGGGGGCUGACGCCUGCCCAGUGCCAGAAGGUUAAAGAAGUUGGUUAGCAUCCGCGAAGCUGAUCACUGAAGCCCUGGUGAACGGCGGCCGUAACUAUAACGGUCCUAAGGUAGCGAAAUUCCUUGUCGGGUAAGUUCCGACCCGCACGAAAGGCGUAAUGAUUUGGAUACUGUCUCGGAGAGGGGCUCGGUGAAAUAGACUUGUCUGUGAAGAUGCGGACUACCUGCACCAGGACAGAAAGACCCUAUGAAGCUUUACUGUAACCUGAAAUUGAAAUUGGACUUUACUUGCGCAGUAUAGGUGGGAGGCGUUGAGAAUAUUCUUGCGGGAUUAUUGGAGCCAUCAGUGAGAUACCACUCUUGUAAUGUUAGAUUUCUAACUUUGUAUCAUUAUCUGGUCAAAGAACAGUUUCAGGCGGGCAGUUUGACUGGGGCGGUCGCCUCCUAAACGGUAACGGAGGCGCACAAAGGUUUCCUCUGAACGGGUAGAAAUCGUAUCUAGAGUGUAAAGGCAUAAGGAAGCUUGACUGUGAGACCUACAAGUCGAGCAGGGACGAAAGUCGGUCUUAGUGAUCUGACGGUGCUGAGUGGAAGGGCCGUCACUCAACGGAUAAAAGUUACUCUAAGGAUAACAGGCCGAUCUCCCCCAAGAGUUCACAUCGACGGGGAGGUUUGGCACCUCGAUGUCGGCUCAUCGCAUCCUGGGGCGGUAGUACGUCCCAAGGGUUGGGCUGUUCGCCCAUGAAGGCGGUACGCGAGCUGGGUUCAGAACGUCGUGAGACAGUUCGGUCCAUAUCCGGUGUAGGCGUUAGAAUAUUGAGAGGAGCCUUCUUUAGUACGAGAGGACCGAGAAGGACAUACCUCUGGUGUACCAGUUAUCGUGCCAACGGUAAACGCUGGGUAGCUAUGUGUGGAGUGGAUAACCGCUGAAAGCAUCUAAGUGGGAAGCCCACCUCAAGAUAAGUA